ACAAACACAGCCACUGUCACACCCAGAGAAAGCUGGCCAUUGUCAAGCCUGGAGGAAGCCAGUACUGACAUGUCAGUCCCUUAUCUGUUCUGUGUUGGAUUAUUCACUACCCCCACAACUUAAACUCUGCACUGGAACUAAUUUGUUGUCCUUUGGUUACUUCUAAAAUGGGGGACCUACCUGCGGGGACCAGCACUUGAGCCCUGCAGGCUCUGUCUAUGUGGCAACAAGAUUGCUCCUGGGAAAUCCAGGCUUAUAUAUUCCAUGCAUAUUGUAAUCACAGGAAUAGAAAGACACUGUUUCUUUCACCAGCACACAUAUCAAGGCAAUGUAAAGACUCUGAUUGAGCCAGCUUCAAUAAAUUGCCCACCUCUGACCAACCCAUGGGUCAGAAAGAUAAGCCACUCUGGUCAGCCCAGAUAAUGUGCUAUCUCAGGUCAGGUUUCACAGAUUCAGAUCUUAAGCCAAGGAUUCUGUUGAGAGUGAUUUACUAAGGAUGUUUUUCUAGGAGAAAACAGUAAAAAAAAGUGAGGAAAUCUAGAGAAGGCAAAAAAGCCCAGCAAUUUCCAAUACCUGAUAUGGGAGAGGUCCUCGGGCAAAGAAACUGGAGGUGUGGGGAGAUUGAAGGCCAGAAAACUUCAAGCACUUUCAGUUCUUCAUUUGGACAAGAUGGAUCCAGUGCCCAAGCAUUGGCCUCAGGUGCAAAGCCUCAGUGGUAAAGCUCCCAAAAGCUGGGGAUGGGCUCACAGAACCGGUAAAAAGGAAUCCCAAGGAAUUUGAGUAGAACAUCUAAAUUGCCCAGUCCCGGGGGGCUGGGGAGUAGAAGCAGCCUCUUGACUCACACCACUAAAAUGUUCUUAUGUGUAGGAGGAAGGGCAGUUCCUAAAGGAAAAGACAUGGAGGGGAAAAAAAUGACCACUCUCUCUUUCAAAACCUGAGAUAAGGUUGUUAAAAUUUCCUGCAACUAUAGUAUUUCUGCACAUUUCUCCUUUUUUCGUAAUAAUUUUUUACUAUAGGUGGUGACGAUGGUCAAUGCACAAAGGUUUGUGAUUGUUAUAACUUGAUUGUGCAGUGUAAUUAAAAUGACCCUCUUUUUUUUAACUGUUUAAUGUCUUGACCCUUGAUAUCUAUGUUGUCUGAAAUCAUUA